UUUUUUUUUUAUUUUCCUGAAUGACACUAGAAUUCAAUGUAAUUAUAUUGGUAUAGACUCUCCCUUCUCCUGAAAUAAGCCUUUCUCUUGUGUUAAAUUUGUUUUUGUGGCUCAGAUUAGGCCCUCUGACUGAAGGUAAAUAAAAAAGAAUUAUUCAUAAUUAUAAUAUGUACAUAGGAAGUCAGAAAGGAAAAAAUGUAGCUCUACUAAUGAUAGUAGGUAGCUUCCCUCUAGCUCUCCCCAAGCUAAGCCACUGGCAGAAACUGGGCCUAUAAAAAGGUAAAGCUCAGUACCUUCCAAAUAAAUACAUAGCAAAAGAAGUAGUAAAGGGUUAGAGUUGUGCAAAGUGAUUAUGACAGUAAGUCAGUCCAAGAAAAAAAAGUCAUUUGAUAAAAACCUAGGCUCUUACACGCAGGAAAAAUGCAACCCUCAAAAUCACAGUAAAUUAUAGUUAAUUAUUUCAUACACAGUAUGUGUAAUAUCGGAAUUCCAAAUCCAACAAUGCUGAAGAACAAUAUCCCAUUCCUAUGUGGACAAACACUGCAGAAAAUCUCCAAGCAGUCUCAUAAACUUCAUCAGAACUUCAUCAGAGAGCCACACUGCAGACAAGCACGUGCCUGCUAAGAACCUAAUGUGCCGGGGUUUAUCUGGGGGCAGGAGGGGAGCUGUUUAGAAUUGGAAUGAAAGCAGCAGGUUUAGUUUUAGUGCAGAGAAAUUUUAAUAACAGCAACAGAUGAAACCGUAAUAGUCUGAUCCUAUCCUCAGGAAGGAACCUUCAGCAAGUAAUAAAUUACUAACAAAAAGACUAAAAUUGUUUAACCAUUAAGGCUGGAGUUAAAACCAGUCUCAGAACACAACUGAAAAUUUCAACUUUCGAGCACGAGGAAAGUGUUCCAGUGCAAAGCUACUGAGAGCUUUAAUAAAUGUGGGCUGAAAAGAGCACAUAUUUCAAGUUAUUUGUGCCUGGGGAGGGAUGCAGCCAGACUCCAGCACAAAGCACAGGGCACUGGUUGCCAAAGGGGGGAGAGGGGCUGAAAACCCCACAUAUUUCAGUUGUGCCUGGGAAGGGAUGCAGCCAGACUCCAGCACAAAGCACAGGGCAUUGGUUGCCAAAGAGGGAGAGUUACCAUGCUGCAGCACUGAAGGCACAUGCCCAGGAAUAUGUGGAGCAUGGGUAAUCAAGCCUUGCUGGAUCAUCCUGGCUCCACCAGAGCAACCUGCUGCUCCCAGGAAAGCAGCAUGCUGGAAGGCAUCACACAAAUGCAUUUAAGUGGCCCUGGAUGAGUAAGAGGAAUUUAGGAGUGCUGCUUCAGCACUCUCUCCUCUAGCAGGGGCAGAAGUGGUGCCACCAGUCAGGGUGAAAAGAAAACUGUGGCAGCCUUUGGGAAGGAAUAAAAAGGAAAAGGCAACUACCAUGCAAUAACAGCUUCAAAGGGGCUGGAGAAGAGGAACUGAGGCAAAGAAGGUGCUCAGCACUACAUUGGCUCAAGUGAUUUCUGCUGUUUAGCAGAAAAGGUGCAGCUCAGAGGAAGGAGCAAGUGUGGGCAGGUAGGCAGGCAGCCAGGGGAGGCUGUGAGCUCAGCAGGGCUGUGAACGCUUGUUUCUCACACAGUUCAUUUCCCCCAUCUGUCUGGUUCACACUGAGGCCACGCACACACCUGUGCCAGGCCAGAACCAAGGUGCCAGAAGGGCAGGACUGAAUGCCUGGGAUUGCAGGGCUUGCACAGUGCCCCCAGAUAAAUCCACAGAAAAUCACAUGCUCAGCACCAAUAAUUUGCUGGAGGAAGCAUGCCUGAAUCUUUAAAAGUGACACAGAUCCUUGAAUGCGAAGGUUUAAUACUGCUUGAAAAACCCUCGUGAAAAGGUUUGGCAUGACCAUCUCUACAUUUGUUAUUAAAGGAGACCUUCAAAAUGUCAUGCUGCAUGGAUUUUGCCUUAAAUCGGCCUGACUAUUACCUACACAAAAUGCUUUUCUUCCAUAUCAAAAGCAAGAUGUGGUUUCUGUUUUUAAACAGAACAGUAUCCAGGUAGGUAGAAGACAAAAAAGUUACAUCCUAAUUAUAUACUUCAUGAAAUUAUGACAUUUUGAAAGCUAGAAAAUUACUUUGUUUCAUAAACAAAGUUACAGCAAAAUCACUCAGACUCAAUUUUGCAGUUGUCAUGAACUACUGGAUUACUGACUGUAAGAAAAAGAACCAUAGUUUAAGCAAUCAAUGUUUUUAAGCUGUGACAUUUUUGCUAAAAUAUUAUUAAGUUUUUAGAGAAUUCACAGUGUUUCUCUUCUUAACAUAGUCUUAUUUCAUUGGAAAAUUUUUAGUCUGCUAUCAAGUGAUCCCAUAAAGCAGGGCAGAACUAAUGGCUUUAUUAAAUAUAUUUACUUCAGGCUAAAUGGAAGGAGCAAUUAUAUUCCACUUAUGCAGGAAAACAGCUGGAACCCACUGAAGGUAGCUCAGAGUGUAAGAGAAAAUAUAAAAAGGCCUGAUCAGAAGCCUAACAGGUUCACUGAUUCAAAACACAUUGUUAGGGAACUGCCUGUCCAGCUGUGUGAGAAAGGGGCACAGGGACCUGCGAGGGAGGUGGUAAAAAGCAAUGACAAACAGAAACACACAGCCAAAAUAUCUGAGAGUCAACUUCAAGAGAUUUGAAAGGGAAAAAAAAAAAAAAAAGCAAAAAAGCAGGGCAUCUUUUUUUUCAAGUAUUAUGGUUAGAGGCAGGAAAAGCAUCUGUAAAGGAAAAGUCAAGGAGUGAGACUCCAACAGUUUCACACUUCUAAGCCUUGCUGACAAGUUUGGACUUUGUGUAAGCAGGAGAAUUGCCAAAGAAUUGAAGAUGAUGGUAAAAAGAAGCCCCCAGCACAUGAGGAGGAAUCUGCUUAAGGGUGCCUGGAAACUGUGAAUUGAGAACUAUUUAAUCAACAAAAAGAAACUAAUACUCAUGUUUUAAUUAUUUAAGCAAAAGCUGACUUAUCUUUCCUACUUACUACUUUUUUUUUUUUUUUUUAAACCUCUCUACUCUGGGUCAUGUCCAGACCAAGGACAGCAUUUUUCCUUGUCCACCAUGAGCCCAUGUGUCUUCCUUGCUGUUACAGGAUCUGUAGGUCAGCCAGAGCUUUGCAGUGCAACUGCUUAGAGCCAUUUUCCUACCACAAGCAUCACAAAAAAACCACAGAAUUCUAAACUCUAAAGCUGUAUUUCAUCACAGCCCCAAAUGAAACAAGGUGGCUUUAGACAAGGAGGAAAUGAGAGUGAGACAGAUCAUAACCAGAGUAUGUUCAGAUGUUUCCUCUCCUAAUAGAUGCUUGCAGAGCAAGCUGUAGGUCCUUAUUCUUGGUGAUGCAAUUUUUGAUGACCUUCUGAGAUACAAUAAAACUCUUCUAAGUCCCAAAAACCAGCCUUUCUUUCUGUCCUUUUUGACAACAUGGCCACUCCUAACUCCACUCAAGAGACUUCACUGUCUGUACGUUUAAUUCUAUGAAUUCCCAGCUUGCUGUCUCUCAAUUCUCUCCUAUCCUCACUUCACACAAUGAGAGUUUUUUACCUAGACUUGCCCAUGUGCUCUUGGAAGGACUCUACUGCUCGCUCUAUCCCACCGGCUCCAUCUGGCCUGGAGCGAGAAGAAGAGAAGAAAACACAACAGCAGACCUCAUCCC
rnacentral:lncRNA from 1 species